CAGGCCGGGGCCCAGACGCGACCCCGGGCGCUGGGACCGGACCCGCCCGCGGUCCAGGGCGCGCGGACUGCGCCGCCGGCGGCCGGAAGCACCGCGGCCCGCCCCGACCUGCCCGCCGCGGCGCAGGCGGCCCCACUCACCGAUGAGCCGGCGCACCUCGUCCUCGCUCAGGUCUCCCAGCGAACUGGUGCACCUUGUGAUGUACUGAUGUGUCGCGGUCAACCCUGCUCCAGGUGCCACCUCUCUUCGUGAGGCUUCCAAGCGUCCCUGGCAGGCCGGAUCACCUAGCCCCUGUGGGCCGGUCUCUGCGCUGACUCUCUACCUCCCAGUAGGCCCGUGCCUCUGGGAACAGCUGCUCCGGGCUAGGCCCAGCUUCACUGCGCCGUUGCUGCAGGAGCGUGGAUUUCUCCAUUUUUCUGAUCCAUUCAAAAGAAAUCAGUAUUUCUGCAUGACAAAACUACCAUAAACAAAAUUAAAAAGCGAAAGACAGGGGACUCCUCUGGUGGCACAGUGGUUAAGAAUCUGCCUGCCAAUGCAGGGGUCACGGGUUCGAUCCCUGGUCCAGGAAGAUCCCACAUGCCGUGGAGCAACUAAGCCCGUGCACCACAACCACUGAGCCUGUGCUCUAGGGCCCGCCAGCCACAACUAUUGAGCCCACAUGCCACAGCCACUGAAGCCUGCACGCCUAGAGCCCAUGCUCUGCAACAAGAGAAGCCCCCACAAUGAGAAGCCCACACACUGCAGCAAAAAGUAGCCCACACUUGCCACAACUAGAGAAAGCCCGUGCGCAGAAACGAAGACCCAAGUCAGCCAAUAAUAAAUUAAUUAAUUAUUUUUAAAAAGGCAAAAGACAAAUUGAAGAAAAAUCUUUACAAUUCUUAUCCCAGUCAAAGAACAGUGCCGUAUGAAGAACUUUUAAAUGCACACGCGUACCUACAAUUGAACAACAAAAAUAAAGAAAUGGACAAUUCACAGAAAAAUACCAACAGUUUGGAAAUAUAUUAAAAUGCUUAAGCUCAGUCAUAAAUAAGAAAAAUGCGAGUUAAAAUUACACUGAGAUACUGUAUUAUAACCUGUUAGACUAAUCUGUCUCUAAUGGUUUGAUAAUAUGUCAUAGCUGACAGGAAUGAAAGUUACAAGUCUCCGAGGCAGACAUUUUGACAAUUGUUAUCAAGUUUACAAAUGUGCAUAUUCUUUGACCAGCAGUUUCACUUCUAGUACUUUUUCCUGAAGAUAUAUUUGCACACUUAGGAAAUGAUAUGUGGACAAAGUUAUUCACUGCGUUAUUUUAUAACAGCAAACAGUUGGGAAAUAGUGCAGUGACUCGGUAAGCUAUGGUGGGUCCCCAUGGGUGUAAAGAAAAAUGAGAAGGCUCUUUAUAUAUGUAUAUGAGUAAGACCAGUUGCAGAGCAGUAUGUGGAGCGUGCUACUAUUUGUACAAAAAAGGGGCAAUGGAGUAUAAUUUUUAUGCUUGUACAUACAUAAUAUAGAUUUGGGAGAUUAUAAAAAACCACUACCACCAUCACCACAACCAUGUGUUCAUACUGAAUGUCUGGGGCAGAAGAACAGGAAAAGUAAUGGGAGGGAAACUUAUUGUACAUCCUUUGAUACUUUUUAGAAUUUGUGAAGCAAGUGAACAUAUACUCCUUUCCCUCAACAAUUUGUUUUAUAAUUCUUCUCAAAAAACAAACAAUAAUGUGGUUCAAUGAUUAGAAUCUUACUCUCUGGUACUAUUAUGUCUUCUCCUCCUCCUCCUCAUCCUCCUCUUCUUGCUCCAUGACUUUAUGAGAUUUGGGAGUGUGGGGAGGGACAGCAGAUAUGUGCACCUAGUUUCCACCUGGCUCCAUUCUCAUCUCUAAUUACUAAUCUCUGGUGUAUAGUAUCAUGUUCAAAAUAACAUAAGCCAGUGUGUUAUGACUGAGAGAGAGAGAAAGAGAGAGAGAGCAGGCCUGCAGGCUGGAAAUUCAAGGAAGACUUGAUGUUGCAGUCCUGAGCCCAAAAUCUACAGGCUAGGAACUCAGACAGAAUUUCUAUGUAGAAGUUUGCAUGCAGUCUGGAGGUCAAAUUCCUUCUUCAUGGAACUUGAGUCUUAAGGCCUUCCGCUGAUUAGAUUGAGGCCCACCCACGUGAUGGAAGGUCAUCUCUUUGUUACAAGUCUGCAGAGUCAAAUAUUAAUCACAUCUAAAAAAUGCUCUCACAAGCAGCAUCUAGACUGGUGUCUGACCAAACAGCUGGAGACCGCCGCUGAGCCAAGUUAGCACAUAAAAUUAGCUCCUGCAGCCAGUCUUCCUGUUCUUGUCCUCUUCGCUGCCCGUGGCUCUCCAUGGUGACUAGGAGUUGUUGGCGCUGAGCAAAGUGUUCACAGCACGUUGCCUCCUGUGCUCACCACAGCACUCUCCAGACACCCAUGCUGCCGCAGAGAUCAUAGGGUGUCAUUUUCACUCAAGUAUCAGAAUCGCUUCAUGGUUCUCCCAGCUCCACACAGAGGGAAGGUUCACCGGGACUGGGAUUUCACUGGACCGAAGUUCCCUUCCCUGGCUUCACUGAUUUACUAAAGCUGUCUCUAACCUUUUCCUCUCUUGUACUACAAAUAUAAUCAUAACAAAUAAACACUAUAUUUGUGACA